UACACUCCUGCGGGAGGCAGCAGUGGGGAAUAUUGCCCAAUGGGCGCAAGCCUGAUGCAGCCAUGCCGCGUGUAUGAAGAAGGCCUUCGGGUUGUAAAGUACUUUCAGCGGGGAGGAAGGCGAUAAGGUUAAUAACCUUGUCGAUUGACGUUACCCGCAGAAGAAGCACCGGCUAACUCCGUGCCAGCAGCCGCGGUAAUACGGAGGGUGCAAGCGUUAAUCGGAAUUACUGGGCGUAAAGCGCACGCAGGCGGUCUGUCAAGUCGGAUGUGAAAUCCCCGGGCUCAACCUGGGAACUGCAUUCGAAACUGGCAGGCUAGAGUCUUGUAGAGGGGGGUAGAAUUCCAGGUGUAGCGGUGAAAUGCGUAGAGAUCUGGAGGAAUACCGGUGGCGAAGGCGGCCCCCUGGACAAAGACUGACGCUCAGGUGCGAAAGCGUGGGGAGCAAACAGGAUUAGAAACCCGUGUAGUCCCA
rnacentral:rRNA from 1 species